rnacentral:rRNA from 1 species
GAGUUUGAUCCUGGCUCAGAUUGAACGCUGGCGGCAGGCCUAACACAUGCAAGUCGAGCGUGAAAGGGCUUCGGCCUGAGUAAAGCGGCGGACGGGUGAGUAACGCGUAGGAAUCUACCUGGUAGUGGGGGAUAACGUUCCGAAGGGAACGCUAAUACCGCAUACGUUCUGAGGAAGAAAGCAGGGGCUCGCAAGACCUUGCGCUAUCAGAUGAGCCUGCGUCCGAUUAGCUAGUUGGUGGGGUAAAGGCCUACCAAGGCGACGAUCGGUAACUGGUCUGAGAGGAUGAUCAGUCACACUGGAACUGAGACACGGUCCAGACUCCUACGGGAGGCAGCAGUGGGGAAUAUUGGACAAUGGGGGCAACCCUGAUCCAGCCAUGCCGCGUGUGUGAAGAAGGCC